rnacentral:rRNA from 1 species
GUGGGGAAUCUUAGACAAUGGGGGAAACCCUGAUCUAGCCAUGCCGCGUGAGUGAUGAAGGCCUUAGGGUUGUAAAGCUCUUUCAGAUGGGAAGAUAAUGACGUUACCAGCAGAAGAAGCCCCGGCUAACUCCGUGCCAGCAGCCGCGGUAAUACGGAGGGGGCUAGCGUUGUUCGGAAUUACUGGGCGUAAAGCGCACGUAGGCGGACUGGAAAGUUGAGGGUGAAAUCCCGGGGCUCAACCUCGGAACUGCCUCCAAAACUAUCAGUCUGGGGUUCGAGAGAGGUGAGUGGAAUACCGAGUGUAGAGGUGAAAUUCGUAGAUAUUCGGUGGAACACCAGUGGCGAAGGCGGCUCACUGGCUCGAUACUGACGCUGAGGUGCGAAAGCGUGGGGAGCAAACAGGAUUAGAAACCCCAGUAGUCC